rnacentral:sRNA from 1 species
GUCGUGAGAUGUUGGGUUAAGUCCCGCAACGAGCGCAACCCUCGUCCCUAGUUACCAGCGGGUAAAGCCGGGAACUCUAGGGAGACUGCCGGUGUCAAACCGGAGGAAGGUGGGGACGACGUCAAGUCAUCAUGGCCCUUACGUCCAGGGCUACACACGUGCUACAAUGGCCGGUACAGAGCGUUGCCAACUCGCGAGAGUGCGCUAAUCGCUAAAAGCCGGUCUAAGUUCGGAUUGGAGUCUGCAACUCGACUCCAUGAAGCCGGAAUCGCUAGUAAUCGCGGAUCAGCUACGCCGCGGUGAAUACGUUCCCGGGCCUUGUACACACCGCCCGUCACGCCAUGGAAGCUGGGGGGACCUGAAGCCGGUGGGCUAACUCGCAAGAGGGGCAGCCGCCAAAGGUCAAUUCAGUGACUGGGGCGAAGUCGUAACAAGGUAGCCGUAGGGGAACCUGCGGCUGGAUCACCUCCUUUCUGGAAUGCCGAGUAAGGCGCACCCUCGGGUGCGUGACGAAAGGCUUCUGGUGUCGCCCGCGCUGUGGACGGCUCUCUCCCAAUUCUUCACUUUCAGCUCUUUGACAACUGAAGGUGGGAUGUUGUGCGGACAUCAUUCGCAAGAGUGACGUCCGGGGAAGGAAUCAACACCGAGAACAACAGAACAAACAACAAGUAGUGAGAUCAAACGCAAUAAGGCACACGGUGGAUGCCUUGGCAUCGAGAGGCGAUGAAGGGCGCGGUAAGCUGCGAUAAGCCUGGGGGAGCUGCACACGAGCUGUGAUCUCAGGAUGC